CCUACGGGUGGCAGCAGUGGGGAAUUUUGCGCAAUGGGGGAAACCCUGACGCAGCAACGCCGCGUGGAGGAUGAAGUAUCUUGGUACGUAAACUCCUUUCGAUGGGGAAGCGGUACCCAUAGAAGAAGCCCCGGCUAACUUCGUGCCAGCAGCCGCGGUAAUACGAGGGGGGCAAGCGUUGUUCGGAAUUAUUGGGCGUAAAGGGUGCGUAGGCGGUUCAGCAAGGCUCGUGUGAAAUCUUCGGGCUCAACCCGAAGUCUGCACGGGAAACUACUGGGCUUGAGUAAUGGAGAGGUGAGUGGAAUUUCCGGUGUAGCGGUGAAAUGCGUAGAUAUCGGAAGGAACACCUGUGGCGAAAGCGGCUCACUGGACAUUCUGACGCUGAUGCACGAAAGCUAGGGGAGCAAACAGGAUUAGAUACCCGGGUAGUC
rnacentral:rRNA from 1 species